AAAGGUAAAGAUGCGUUUGCAUUCUGUGUUCUGAAUGCCAUGCAUAAUGCAUGUCGUUCUAUGACAAAAUGCGUCCGCUUCGUGGUCGCGAUAUGCACGCAUGAUGUGUUCGGCAAUGGCCGGCGGAUACACGAUGUAGGCAUUACGUCGUAUUAGAUAAACCCCUGUGUGCCGCGUCACCGCAUGAAUAAACAUGCUCAAACUGCAUCCUAACCGCCGCCUCAACCGCCACCACCACACACAUACAACCAAACUAGUGUUUUAUUCAAUUAGAAAUCAGAAUAUCGUUUCAACCGCAACAUACACAGGCUAAGAUGCCCGUCAAUUGAAAGAUUUCCAACACCUGCUGAUAAUCAACGCGCACGUCAACGCCAGCAAGAAUCAAAACUUUUCAUUACGCCGCCCGCUCGCUCGACGAAUCGACCGUGGGAGCCCAAAAAAGGUAAAAUACGGCCGAAAUGUGAGUCGAUCAAGUUCCGAUACGUAUUACCAAUCAGGUAUUGACGAUUACCAAUCAUUUUCCACCAGGAACACAGAAUGUGCUAGAAGGUAGAGCUGCUUUCCCGCAUUUCCACCCUCUGUAAACCAUCUCACUCUAUGCUAUUGAUACUAAUGUUUGCCAUCUCUCCAAAUCUGAUUUCCCAACAUGCAGGCUGCAAGUAUCGGGAGCGCUUCGGGAGCGUCACCCUUCGAUGAGGGGAGAGUAUUGAUCUGAGCGCGCCCUAACGGUCAGGUAUCGAACACCCAUAAAUAUACCAAUACGCUCUUCGUUCCACCAACGCAUCGCAACGCACGUUUUCCGCUUUCCCGCCUUUCGGCUUUCCUGAUAAUUCAACAUAGGCAUCGCGCCCUCUACGAUCCCCUCAUCGUUUCCUGAUACUCGGGACACCCCUAUGCCUACCGCAAACGUGCGCGCAAUACUCUACAAUAGACAGCCGCAUGAAAAAGCGAAGCCCUAUUAAGUAAUAGUGGAAGCUGCGAGUCUGGUACAAGUGCGUCAUUAAAAAUAGAAAUUUGCCCUCUAAUACAAUACGAUUCAGUCGAAUAAAACAACAAAAAUUCUCGGAAAACGCGCGCGGUGAUUACUUUGCAAUGCGCGCACGCUGUGUGUGUGUUAAUAAAGUUUUAAUUAAAGUGGGCAUCGGUCCGGAACGGCGUGUUGCCGCUUUCAGAGGCUCAGGACCCAUUCACAUGGUACGCGUUUUAUUUGCCAUUAUUGAUUUUCGCCAAUUAAAUUUUCAACUUGAAUUCGUGCGGUUAGCAAGCGCAAUAAUACGUAAAAUAUGAAAGCACUACUUUUUUUUAUCAUCAAUAAAUCGAUUACUCUUCGAUUAUGAUUCCAUCACAUACAGAUGGCGCGGUUUUAUAAAUCAUGACAUCACAAUUUUUGAGACGUUGAGGAAUACAUCGUUAUUUGUUUAAAACUUUAAAAGCAAAUGGUAAAUAGACGUCCGGCGUCGGUCGAAGAGCGAGACGUAAAAGUGUCGCAGCCGGAAAAAGCGAACGUUCGGGUAAUAAAUCAUGUCAACGAAGGCGCACGUAUAUUAUACGCUUAUCUCCUUUCGUGCAAAGCUCUCUUCGAAUGGCUAGGUUUUUAUUUUAUUUUUUGCUAACGGGCUACUCUACGGCGGAGGAAACAAAUACGAAAAGACGAAAACUACUUUGAAGUCCCCCAGCGACGACUUUGAUCUGCUGAUCUGGCCGGAAGUGGAUGGCAAAUUGAUGUUACACAAUUUGCGAGAUGAUGCUCAAUCGCACAACUAAAGCACCAAAAACAAAAUUAAUCAUGCAAUUUCAAUAAGAAUCGCGCACACCUUCAAAAAGCACGAAAAGUAAAACAAAUUGCGCAAUUAAGACUCGAUAAUAUGCGCGAGCGUAUGCAGAACACGGGGCGGAUAUAAUUAAAAUAAAUCUACUCGCUUAGUUUUAUUUCUACGCGGCGCACGGGGCAAAAUAUGCGCCACCAUAAAUUAUCCCUUAGCACGCCGCCGCCGCCACGCUGCCACGCGCCGAGGGCGUCUCAUUUCACUAAACGCAACACAUUCGCGGUAAUUCAUUCUGGGAAACUGCAUUUGCGAAAUGCACUGGGAACCUAUUGUGUACUCACUGUUUAGCAUCGCACAAUUGAGAAUAUUAAGAACAUGAAACUACAAUAAUUAGUUAAUUGCACCAAAAACUGACCGAAUACCACAAUAUCAACUAUCAAUUCGAGGAACAACUGAGGCACCAUAAUGUAUGCGAUGUUUCAUCGAAAAUGUUUAUCUGAAAACACACGCACACACGAAACAAAAAAAAAACAUUAAUCAUUGCGAUAAAGCGCAUAGUCGCUUUGUGUACAUUAUGCAAUUAAUGUUUACAUUGACUUAAUGUUUAUGUGUGUGUGUUCUGUACGCUAACAACAUUUUAUUUUUAUUAUUAAAUAUUUAUGCAUUAAAUAUUAAUUUAAUAAGAGCAGGUUCUUUUUGUUUUCAUGGAAAGGCUUUGACUUUGAAGUUGUUUGUGGCUUAUUAAUAAUUUGCUCCGCGAAUGCAAAACUCAACACUCUUGACAUAGAAAUUGCGCAGCAUGAAGAUCCUUCUUAGCAGAGUCGCCUGGAGCUCGUACACACCACGGUGCUGGGCAUAACUAGACAAUCUAGAUUCUGCAGAUUCCAGAGACUAUGAGGCUAUGAGCCAAAGUGAAGGCAAAUGGAGUGUCUGCGACCGAGUGCCUUUAGUCUCUAGCUGCUUGUGUCCUUCCAGAUAGCUCUAAGUUAGGAUCUUAGAUAUGCGCUAUCUUCGUACAGCAUCAUCAUCAUCAUCAACAUCUCAAGCACAACUAGAUACUUUCCUAAAAGUUUAUCUCUAGUGCUAGUGAAAUAUAUUGUUUUGGUAAAAUUUUAUUUUUAUAAAUUCUGUUUUAGUUCACGUAUUUUUUGAAGUACCUACACAUAUAAAAUAUGCAAUAAGCAAACACAAUACAAAGAGUAAACAUCAAACAAACAAACCAAAUACGCGAACACACCGCAAUAAAUUCACAAUCCAUAAAGCAUUUUAUGAUUUGAUUCGCUUCGAUUGUAAUGUACAUAAUGCACAUCGCAUACACGUCGAAUGUCAUUCGAUGCAUUUCCACGUAUUCACAUUUUCGCGUUGACGUCAUCGCGCAGUUGGCCAUCGAGGCCAGUGCACUUUGCACGCCCUCGAUGCGCCGCCCCCCGCUCGGCCAUUGUAAUCAUCAACACGCUACUACGAUGCAGACAAUGCACAAUGAAAAUUAGCCUUGCGCACUCGCGACGCUGGAGUUUAAUCUCGUCUCGUCGUCGCGGCGAAUUUGCAAAAUUGGGACGCACUUCAAAUUCUAAACUACGACCAUUUGAGCCACCGGCACGAAAUAACGGGAUACUUACAAAAAAACAACAUUGAAAGCUCCGCAAAACCGGAAUACAAUUCGGAUAUGCAGGUGGGUAGUAUAUUCAGCAAAAAGCUUUUCCGGUUUUUAGCUUUUCAGUUUAAUCCAUUCCCAAGAGAAAUACUCGUAAAUAAAAUACAUACCGGGAAAAGCAAGCAAACAACUUUUUUCGCACAAAAAAAGCUCACGAAACUUGUUGCCUUGAAUAGAGCACCGAGAACAUACCUGAAACAACAAAAAAACAGUAAUUAGUAAUUAAAUAUUUAUAAAAUGUGCAAAACUUUCAAAGUUUUAUAUUUUCUACCUGUUUUAUGUUUAGCCCGUGCAUAAACCAGAAAGUUAUUUUUAAUCCCACUCGGGCACACCGCAAAUAGCACACGAUUUAAAUUAUUUAGCCACGAAUAAUGUAAAGUUGUCGAACCGUCUUCGCCUGCGACGCGCUCGACGAUAUCUGAAUGACUCGAUUGGACGGUUAUUAUUAUAGGUGAGUGUUUACGUCAAACGUGCUAUAAAUUACACAGUACCGGACUAAUAAUUAAUUAAAAUUUAAAAAUACUUUUAAAGUUAUUUAUAAAAAGUUCAGGAAAGUAUUUAAAAACAUUACUGAGAAAGAUAAUAAUUUAAUUUUAAAUAUUCUCAUUCAGUUUCUGUAUUGUGAAAUAAAUAAUUGAUUGCAAUAGCCGAUAAUCCAAUGCUCCGAUGCACGAAACGAUAUUGAAGUACAGACGCACGCAGGACACAAGCCCCGACAUGCAAUUGAACAAUUUUUCCUCGCCGAUGAUACAGCAUUUAAUAACCUGUCCGUCAGCGGCCAUUAACGAACCGAAUUCAUAUUUCGUUGUUUUGAGCACGCAUCGAUGGUCAAACGGAAUUGAUAAGCUUUUAAUUAUUCCCUGCACGCGGUCUACCACUAGACAUACUAAAAUAAUGUUUUACCAAAUAUUUUCUAUGUAUAUCGAGGGCAACAAACCAAUAAAACAUUUUGUCGAUUUGGUGGAGGCGCCGCCUGCA